rnacentral:ncRNA from 2 species
CUAAAAAUGUGGGGGAACCGUAUAUCGGUUGAGAUUUCAUCAGUGAGAUGAUAACCCUUUGAACCUGAUCUGGUUGAUACCAGCGGAGGGAACAUAUUCUAAUACAUA